rnacentral:rRNA from 1 species
UGGGGAAUCUUGCGCAAUGGGCGAAAGCCUGACGCAGCCAUGCCGCGUGAAUGAUGAAGGUCUUAGGAUUGUAAAAUUCUUUCACCGGGGACGAUAAUGACGGUACCCGGAGAAGAAGCCCCGGCUAACUUCGUGCCAGCAGCCGCGGUAAUACGAAGGGGGCUAGCGUUGCUCGGAAUUACUGGGCGUAAAGGGAGCGUAGGCGGACAUUUAAGUCAGGGGUGAAAUCCCGGGGCUCAACCUCGGAAUUGCCUUUGAUACUGGGUGUCUUGAGUGUGAGAGAGGUAUGUGGAACUCCGAGUGUAGAGGUGAAAUUCGUAGAUAUUCGGAAGAACACCAGUGGCGAAGGCGACAUACUGGCUCAUUACUGACGCUGAGGCUCAAAGCGUGGGGAGCAAACAGGAUUAGAUACCCUGGUAGUCCACGCCGUAAACGAUGAUUGCUAGUUGUCGGGAUGCAUGCAUUUCGGUGACGCAGCUAACGCAUUAAGCAAUCCGCCUGGGGAGUACGGUCGCAAGAUUAAAACUCAAAGGAAUUGACGGGGUCAUAGCUGUUUCCUG